GACGAACCGUACGAACGUUAUUCGGAAUCACUGGGCUUAAAGGGUGCGUAGGCGGCGCGACAAGUUGGGUGUGAAAUCCCUCGGCUCAACCGAGGAACUGCGCCCAAAACUGUCGUGCUCGAGGGAGACAGAGGUGAGCGGAACUUAGGGUGGAGCGGUGAAAUGCGUUGAUAUCCUAAGGAACACCGGUGGCGAAAGCGGCUCACUGGAUCUCUUCUGACGCUGAGGCACGAAAGCGUGGGGAGCAAACAGG
rnacentral:rRNA from 1 species